UAGGGAAUCUUCCGCAAUGGGCGAAAGCCUGACGGAGCAACGCCGCGUGAGUGAUGAAGGUCUUCGGAUCGUAAAACUCUGUUAUUAGGGAAGAACAAAUGUGUAAGUAACUAUGCACGUCUUGACGGUACCUAAUCAGAAAGCCACGGCUAACUACGUGCCAGCAGCCGCGGUAAUACGUAGGUGGCAAGCGUUAUCCGGCAUUAUUGGGCGUAAAGCGCGCGUAGGCGGUUUUUUAAGUCUGAUGUGAAAGCCAACGGCUCAACCGUGGAGGGUCAUUGGAAACUGGAAAACUUGAGUGCGGAAGAGGAAAGUGGAAUUCCAUGUGUAGCGGUGAAAUGCGCAGAGAUAUGGAGGAACACCAGUGGCGAAGGCGACUUUCUGGUCUGUAACUGACGCUGAUGUGCGAAAGCGUGGGGAUCAAACAGG
rnacentral:rRNA from 1 species